GGGGACUGCGCGGCUAUAAUGCAGUCGAGCGCAGGAAGCAAGCAGAUCCCCUUCGGGGGUGACGCUUGUGGAAUGAGCGGCGGACGGGUGAGUAACACGUGGGCAACCUGCCUGUAAGACUGGGAUAACCCCGGGAAACCGGGGCUAAUACCGGAUAAUACUUUUCUUUGCAUAAAGGAAAGUUGAAAGGCGGUUUCGGCUGCCACUUACAGAUGGGCCCGCGGCGCAUUAGCUAGUUGGUGAGGUAACGGCUCACCAAGGCGACGAUGCGUAGCCGACCUGAGAGGGUGAUCGGCCACACUGGGACUGAGACACGGCCCAGACUCCUACGGGAGGCAGCAGUAGGGAAUCUUCCGCAAUGGACGAAAGUCUGACGGAGCAACGCCGCGUGAGUGAUGAAGGUUUUCGGAUCGUAAAACUCUGUUGUUAGGGAAGAACAAGUCGGGUAGUAACUGACCCGGCCUUGACGGUACCUAACCAGAAAGCCCCGGCUAACUACGUGCCAGCAGCCGCGGUAAUACGUAGGGGGCAAGCGUUGUCCGGAAUUAUUGGGCGUAAAGCGCUCGCAGGCGGUCCUUUAAGUCUGAUGUGAAAUCUCGCGGCUCAACCGCGAACGGUCAUUGGAAACUGGAGGACUUGAGUACAGAAGAGGAGAGUGGAAUUCCACGUGUAGCGGUGAAAUGCGUAGAGAUGUGGAGGAACACCAGUGGCGAAGGCGACUCUCUGGUCUGUAACUGACGCUGAGGAGCGAAAGCGUGGGGAGCGAACAGGAUUAGAUACCCUGGUAGUCCACGCCGUAAACGAUGAGUGCUAGGUGUUAGGGGGUUUCCGCCCCUUAGUGCUGAAGUUAACGCAUUAAGCACUCCGCCUGGGGAGUACGGCCGCAAGGCUGAAACUCAAAGAAUUGACGGGGCCCGCACAAGCGGUGGAGCAU
rnacentral:rRNA from 1 species